AAUGAACGUUGGCGGCAUGGAUUGGGCAUGCAAGUCGAGCGGGAAGUGUAGCAAUACACGGAAAGCGGCGGAAGGGAGAGUAAUACGUGGGAAUCUGCCCUUAGACCUGGGAUAGCAGCGGGAAACUGCUGGUAAUACCAGAUAAUGUCUAUGGACCAAAGGUGUGAUUCCGUCUAGGGAUGAGCCCACGUCCUAUUAGCUAGUUGGUAGGGUAAUGGCCUACCAAGGCGAUGAUGGGUAGCGAGUGUGAGAGCAUGACCCGCCUCACUGGGACUGAGACACUGCCCAGACACCUACGGGUGGCUGCAGUCGAGAAUCUUCGGCAAUGGGCGCAAGCCCGACCGAGCGAUGCCGCGUGCGGGAUGAAGGCCUUCGGGUUGUAAACCGCUGUCGAGGGGGAGCAACUUCCAUAGAGUUAUCUUUAUGGAUUGAGUGAUCCCUGGAGGAAGGACGGGCUAAGUUCGUGCCAGCAGCCGCAGUAAGAC
rnacentral:rRNA from 1 species